CUCACACAGGAGACUGCCGGCACCAGUGCACACCACCACACUUUCUUUUGCGGUUGAUUCAUCUGAUUUUUGUUGGUUUGUUUUGUGAUGCAUCAAUUCAGACUGAGCUGAAGCCAUUGCCCACAACUCCUCUUGCCGUGGAGGCAACGACGAGCACCGAUGCCUUGCAAGGAUCCACUGGCUUCGACCUCUACCAGCUGCCGUGCACCUGGGAUCCGCACCCUCUGACCUCGCCGUGGGGUGCGCUCCUUCUCGGUUGAGACGGCAUGAAACAUUUGAUCUGUUGGUGGCUAGGUCCUGGCAGGAACGGUGGCAUGAAGCAGUUGAGUACGUGUGUGUGGUGAGCAGCUACUGAACUUAUUCAGGCACUACAAUAUAGUCCCACACAACCUCUCAACACCACUUCUUGAACCUGCUUGAACCUUCAUGGCCCAGGCCGUUCACUGCCUCCACACAAGGCCGUUCGAUGACGCAAAGCUCAAGCCGUUCACCCUUGCCACCACAAGCCGUUCACCUUCGCCACACGAGGUUGUGCGACAACGCAGCGAUCAGGCUGCUCGCCUCUAUCACUGCAAGCCGUUCACCUUUGCCACAGGUGGUCGACGCAGUGCUAAGGAUGUUGUGUUCUUUUUCAGUACAUGUUAUGUGUGCUUUUUAGUUCACCUACUUGGCGAUUCUAUGUCCAAUUUCCCCUCUAUUUAUGUGUUUUCCUAUAGCACAAGAGGUGUUCUGUGUUAUGCCUUAAUAAGCAAAUACUGUUUUGUUCUCAGUAUUCUGAUGUAGGCCAAAAUGGUGAACAUUUAAACAUCAGCCCAAAUUAAUAAAACUGAGAAGUUCUACUUUCA